GUUUGUUGCAACAAAAAAUCUCCAGUGGUUACAAAGUUAUGAUAAAAAGUUGAAUACUAUGCGUUUGUUAUGAAAUUUUGUACUUUUGUUUUUAGCUUGCUCAGUGUAUUGAUAAAGCAGAAAAAUGAAUCAAAUUCAUGCUAUUAAGUGUUUUGUUAUCCCUUCUAGUAUAUACAUUAUCAAAAACUACCUCAUUUAUCAUAAUUGCAGUACCCUAGCUGGAGAUAUAUACCAUCAAAGUUGGAUAUACAAAUAAAGUGAAAAAA
rnacentral:lncRNA from 1 species